UACGAGGGGGGCGAGCGUUGUUCGGAAUUAUUGGGCGUAAAGGGUGUGUAGGCGGUUUGGUAAGCCUGAUGUGAAAUCUAUGGGCUCAACUCAUAGUCUGCAUCGGAAACUGCCGGGCUUGAGUGUGGGAGAGGUGAGUGGAAUUCCUGGUGUAGCGGUGAAAUGCGUAGAUAUCAGGAGGAACACCUGUGGCGAAAGCGGCUCACUGGACCAUAACUGACGCUGAUGCACGAAAGCUAGGGGAGCAAACAGG
rnacentral:rRNA from 1 species